rnacentral:lncRNA from 1 species
GCCUUUAGCCAACCAUAGUUUGGUCCAUUUAUUUUUUUCCUCCUCUUAAGUUCUCUGAUACUGACAGUGUACAUGCAAGUAGGUGACUCUGAUACUGGGAAAGACUGAGGGUAGGAGGAGAAGGGGAUGACAGAGGAUGAGAUGGUUGGAUGGCAUCACCAACUCAAUGGACGUGUGUCUGGGUAGACUCCGGGAGUUGGUGAUGGACACGGAGGCCUGGCCUGCUGCUAUUCACAGGGUCGCAAAGAGUCUGACACGACUGAGUGACUGAACUGAACUGAACUGCGGAAGGAUCAUUAACGUGGUUCCGAGAGCGCGGUGGCCUUGCCUCGCCUCGCCUCGCCCCGCCCGGCUCACAAGCCUUUCCUCCACCCUUGUGGCGCAGGAUGGAAAGGAAGAGGUCUGAAGGCUCGGUCCGUCCGUCCGUCCGUCCGUCCGCGCGGGGACUGGGGUGGGAAAACCCUGGCCUGGGCGGUCGGGUUCAGUGGCCUUUCUGGUGUAGGGGAAGAGGAGCUGCGCCCCGAGAAGGUGUAGGGGCGGCGUGCAACGUGGGGGUCGGAUGGUAAGGCGGUUCUCCUCUGCCUUCCCGCCCCGCCGCGCCGCGCCUCCAGUCCCCCGCCGAGCGUCCCACCAUCCCCCACCCACCGGCCUGGUUGGCCAGGGUGGUCCACUCUCACCCACCGGCGCACCUGGUGGCUGUGGCGUCGGCUCCGCUGUCACUCUUCCGGCUGACCUCCCUGCCACGUCCCACAGGAGAAUUUCAACCUCCUGAAUGACUGCUACUAGCCAUGAAGCUGUUGCAUAGGAUUCCUGCUUUGUCUACUCCCAUCAUGGAUAUCCUUUAACUGAGUUAUAUCAAGAUCAAUUAAAAAGACUAUUCUGAAUUUCUGACAUUGUUUGAAGAGCAGACAAAAGUGUGUGUCUGUAUGUAUAAAUGUGUCUGUGUGUGUAUCUGUGUGUGUAUGCACACAUGUGCACAAUUAUAUGAAUGUUUGGUCUAGAGGAAGAAGAGGAAGGUUAAAGUCUGUUAUGUGCUUUAGAAUCUCUGGAGGGAAUGACAGAAAACCCUGUGCAGCAACUAGGGAAAAUAAAUCUUCAGAGAAAUUAUCAGGGCUAGUAUGUAAUUGACUUUUCUGUAAAAAUGGAAGGCCAUUCCUGGAGACAUUAUAGUGUAGUAAUAGAACCAAAUCCACUGAAGAGAGGAGUGAAGCAAGUUAGUUAACAAAAACUACUGUGUAUUUGCUGAACACAAAAUAAUUCUUAGGCAAAGGAUGAUUUUGAUAGAUGCACAUUUUUCUCUUGUAAUAACUUUUUUGAAUGUUGCUUACUCAUCAUGAAGAUAAUUUUUGCUCCUUUUAUGAGAUCAGAAAUGUCUUUGAUGCAAUUUCUUUUUUCACAAUUCAACCACCCAGAAAUAAUCAUUAUGGAUAAUUUUGGACUCAUAGUGUAGUCUCAUAUAUAUAAUCCCAAAUAGAAUUAAAAAUUUUAAGAAUAUAUCCUUCAUGAAUUAAAAAAGUAUAUACCAAAUGUAUAGAUGUGCCAUACUAUUUUUCUCAGCAAUUCUUUU